GCGUGGGGAGCGAACAGGAUUAGAUACCCUGGUAGUCCACGCCGUAAACUGGGCUCACUCGCUGUUGGCGAUAGACAGUCAGCGGCCAAGGGAAACCGAUAAGUGAGCCACCUGGGGAGUACGGCCGCAAGGUUGAAACUCAAAGGAAUUGACGGGGGCCCGCACAAGCGGUGGAACAUGUGGUUUAAUUCGAUGAUACGCGAGGAACCUUACCUGGGCUUAAAUGUGAAGUGCAUUGAUUGGAAACAAUCAUUUCCUUCGGGACCCUUUACAAGGUGCUGCAUGGUUGUCGUCAGCUCGUGCCGUGAGGUGUUGGGUUAAGUCCCAUAACGAGCGCAACCCCUAUUGUUAGUUACCAGCGCGUAAUGGCGGGGACUCUAGCGAAACUGCCGGUGUAAACCGCGAGGAAGGUGGGGAUGACGUCAAAUCAGCACGGCCCUUAUGUCCAGGGCUACACACGUGUUACAAUGGCCGGUACAGCGGGCAGCUAGGCAGCGAUGUCAUGCUAAUCCCGAAAGCCGGUCCCAGUUCGGAUUGGAGUCUGCAACCCGACUCCAUGAAGGUGGAUCGCUAGUAAUCGCGCAUCAGCCAUGCGCGGUGAAUACGUUCCCGGGCCUGUACACACCGCCCGUCAAGCCAUGAAGUCUGGGGUGCCU
rnacentral:rRNA from 1 species